rnacentral:tRNA from 1 species
GUUCAGUUAGCCUAGUAGUUAAGGCUAUGGAUUGCCAAUCCGGAGACAGCGGGUUCGGUUCCCGUCCUGGUCG